CUGUGUCUUACAGGGGACCUCAGGUGCGUGCGCCUGACUCUGGUGCCUGGAGUGCCAAUGGCCGGUCACAGCCCCGACAUCCUGUCCGGCUUCCUGGGGGGACCCACAUUAACUGGGCUCCAGAGCCUGACACAUUGACCUGAGGACGACGUGGUCACGCAAGGGCAGGCUCUUUGUAGGUAAACGUGCUAGAGGAGAUGAGGUCAGCAGGUGGUGAUUUAGGUGGCUGGAGUUAGAGAGCGUGAAACUAACUGGCGUGGGCCGCAGGAGAGACCCUCGGACACAGUGCCCUGCAGGAGGCCGGCGCCCACCAGCCCCGCCAGCUUCUGCGGCUUGGGGCUUUGUUUUGCUCUCGUCUGGUCAACAGGUGCCUCUACCUGGCCUCCUCUCAGCCAUCCUGAGCUCUUUUGAAGUCACCAUCAUGUGUCCACCUUCCUGGUCUUCCAUCGAAGCACUCUGGUGGGAGCACGGGGUGUCUCCACUCUGCAGGGGUGCCAGAGCUCGAGGUCGAAGCAGGCGGGGCCCAUGCCGGCCGUGUGUGAGCUGGAGGAGGGCGUCCGUCUUCCUUCCCGCUCAAUCUCGUCAACCCCCAGAGCAGGGUGGGCGAAAGACUUGCAGGGUUCUGUGACAUUCUGUGAUUGACUGGGCGCAGUCAAGGCCCACUGCUCCUUUCGCCAUCUGCCUGUCUCGUGAAGAACAAGGGUUCCGUCAGAGGGUGGACACUGGUGGCCAGGAGAGACCGGGAGGAGGAUGGCGCUUCCGGAUGGCCGCUGGCUCAUGGCACUGGA